UACGAAGGUCCCAAGCGUUAUCCGGAUUUAUUGGGUUUAAAGGGUGCGUAGGCGGGCUAUUAAGUCAGUGGUGAAAUCUCCAUGCCUAACAUGGAAACUGCCAUUGAUACUGAUGGUCUUGAGUACAUUUGAAGUGGGCGGAAUGUGUCAUGUAGUGGUGAAAUACUUAGAUAUGACACAGAACACCGAUUGCGUAGGCAGCUCACUAAACUGUAACUGACGCUGAGGCACGAAAGCGUGGGGAGCAAACGGG
rnacentral:rRNA from 1 species